AUUGACUCAUACAGGUGAGCUGGGAAAUUCUUCUGUCUGCAAAUAGUGUUCUGCCUCCAGUGUCUCGUUUAUCACCUACACCACCCUCUGUAAACUUAUGCCCCAAUUUGUCAAUGGCACCUAUUGACUUUCUUAUCUCUUCUGGGUUGAGUACCUCCUUGAUACCAGAAAGUAUUCUUCCUGGAAUUAGGUUCUAGAUUCUGGUGACCUCAUGUCAGUUCAAGGGCAAAGUUCUGGAAAUUCCGUGGAGGCCUUGUGUGCAAUGCUCCUCCGUGUGACGACUGCCUCCGGGUGGCUUGGGCUUCAGAGUGAGUCUGCAGCGGGGCCAGUGCUCCCGGGCUCCCCAGCGCCCUGGGCUUGUUUUGACUGUACUUCGUUGUCGUCUCUGAGCUGGGGCUGUGGUGGUUUGGGGAGGCAAAGCUUCACAGAUGACAGGUCAGACUGUAAACACUCCACCCCCAUUCCAUCACAAAAACCAGUCCAAGGAAAACACCAGAAGCUAAUUGAAACUAAAACAACAGCACAAAUAUUUGUGGGGGCAGAAAUUCAAACAAGGCUAGCAAAAACAAAGAGUGCAUUUCAGAUUGGGAUUAAUUAAACUAAAAGAAGCAUAAUGGUAUCUAAUGGGAAUCUUUUUACCAUUACAUCUGAUACCUUCAAAUGGUUGUCACAACGGGGAGUAUAAAGUUAUAUAAAUUAUUUACUCAAAAUUGUAAUUAAUUUCAGCUGUUUGCCUUCACACUGAUUGUCUACUGUUGCACAGUGUCAGAGGAAGGGCCCGGGAAUGGAGGAUAAAGGCCACAGGAGUUGUGUAACUUUGAGCCUGUCACCUAACCCUGUCCAAAGUAGCCUUCAGUUUCUUCAGCUGAGAGGAAAAGAACAGAAGAGAGGAGAAGAGAAAAGACAAGGAGGGAUGGGGGAAGAGAGACAGCUGUGAAGACACGCUAUCACGCAGAGGGCCUGAACUAUAUGAUCUCUAACGUAUUGGCUCAGGCUGUGGACUCGAACCCAGGAGCCCUGGUGCAAAUCCCAGCUCCAUAAUUUACUGGCUGUGUGACCAUGACAAAUCCCUUAGCUUCUCUGUGCUUCCUUUUCCUUAUUUGUAAAAUCAAUCUCUUUGUGUUGUUGUGAGCAUUAAAUUAGUAAAGUAUGUAAGUACUGCAAAUAGUGCCUAGCAGGUAGUAAGUACCUGGUGUUAGGUGUUACUCUUGUUAUUAGGUGAUCUUUACUUGGAGGACAAAACAAUGUGCACUAGAGAAGAGGAAAAAAGGAGGGGAUUUCUCUAAGGAUUCUGUGCUUUCGAUUAGGGAAUGAAUAGCAGAAAAGAAAGAAGCUAAUAUUUAAGUACUUAUUAUAUAUGAAGCUACUAUAUUCCCAUUGACUAGAUCAGAAAUAAUACAAAUGAGGACUCAAAAAAAAUUUGUUCUAGGAAUGAAUAAUCCUGUGGAGUAAGUUUUGGUUUUUUAAAAUUCCUAUUUUUCAGGAGAGUAGUCUGAAGAUCAGAGGGGUUAAGUAACUUGCAUGCAAUCACACAGCUAGCAACAGCUGAGCUGGGUUUUGAACCCAGGUCUCUAUGGCUCUGAGGCCCCUGCUUCUCCCAUUAUACCAUGAUGCCUCCUACAAGGGGUUGGAGAGGAAGGGGACACUCAUGUGUCCUGCCAGAGUGGGACAGGGCUCCUGCUUGGUGAUAGCUGCCCAGCAGAGCAGGACCAGGAGGGCAGUAACUGUGUGCCCCUCCUCCCCCUCCCUUCCAGCUGCUGGCGUCAUCCGACCCUCUCCUCACCCCUCUCAGCGAACACCACGAGAUCAGCUUGACACAGGGUUGUUGCAUGCGAAAAUCAGCGGGACAUGGGGCUGACCCUCGGCUGGUGUAAUUUCUUUCUUUCAGAUGGCCUAGGAAUGUCCUCUAUGAAUUUUUACAUACAUCUGCCAGACGCAGUUUAAAUUGAAUUACCGACGCACUGAGCCUACCAAGAGCAGCCUUUCCAGUUGGACUUUGGGAAAAUUUUUCACAACAGGAAAGGGAUAAGGAGAUAUUCCUCAGCCUCAUUUUGUUCUUUUCCUAAGACUAUGGACAUGAUGCCAGAGGUGGCAUAACCAUUUUUUAGUCACAAGGAUGAAGAUCACACACAUGAAGACCACACACAAAGCAAGAAAGGGCAGAAAGGUAGAAGAAAUCUUGGUCCAUGAAGGCAUCAUGGAGCUGCAUUACCAGCCUUGGACUGCUGACCUCUAGACCUUUUUUUUGGCUAAGGAAGAUUGGCCCUGAGCUAACAUCUGUUGCCAACCUUCCUCUUUUUGCUUGAGGAAGAUAGUC